CACACACCCUGACCUCACAGCAGCAAAAAACAUUGUGUGCAAGGUAUGUGGGUCAACAGAGGUGCAAGAUUUGCAGAAAUGUUUAUUGUACAUGUAACAUGCAUGAACAAAUACAAACAAUGGUUGGAAUUACAGCAUAAUGUCUCGGAUAUACUGUAUGUUAGACAGUUUACCAGAUCACUUGGGACAAUUAACCAUGGCUUUUAAUAAUCUCAACUGCUCACUGUUCGUGGUUUUAUGACUGAUGGGAGAUACAGUCAAACAGCAUUAAAGGAUCACUAUAGGCUCAGGAACCCAAACAUGUAUUCCUGACUCUAUAGUGUUAAAACCACCAUCUAGCCCCCGUGGGCCCCUCGUGCCUC